rfam:Brachypodium distachyon strain Bd21 chromosome 4, whole genome shotgun sequence.
UUAUUACUCCCUCCGUCCCAUAUUAAUGUUUUCGUUGACUUUCUAUUACAUGUAUCUAGGCGCUUUUAAGGCAUAGAUACAUCCAUAUUUGGGCAAAUUUGAGUCACUUAAUAUGGGACGGAGGGAGUAGUAA